UACGGAGGGUGCAAGCGUUAAUCGGAAUUACUGGGCGUAAAGCGUGCGUAGGUGGUUCGUUAAGUCCGUUGUGAAAGCCCCGGGCUUAACCUGGGAAUGGCCAUGGAAACUGGCGAACUGGAGUGUGGCAGAGGGGGGUGGAAUUCCGCGUGUAGCAGUGAAAUGCGUAGAGAUGCGGAGGAACACCGAUGGCGAAGGCAGCCCCCUGGGCUAGCACUGACGCUCAGGCACGAAAGCGUGGGGAGCAAACAGG
rnacentral:rRNA from 1 species